ACCGAACCCGUUGACGUUGAAAAGUCUUGGGAUGACCUGUGGGUAGGGGUGAAAGGCCAAUCAAGCUCGGAAAUAGCUCGUACUCCCCGAAAUGCAUUUAGGUGCAGCGUUGAUUGUUGUUAUAUAGAGGUAGAGCUACUGAUUGGAUGCGGGGGCUUCACCGCCUACCAAUUCCUGACAAACUCCGAAUGCUAUAUAAUUAGAUCAGCAGUGAGGGCAUGGGUGCUAAGGUCCAUGUCCGAGAGGGAAAGAACCCGGACCAUCGGCUAAGGUCCCCAAAUAUGUGCUAAGUUGACAAAACGCGGUGGAACUGCAUUGACAGCCAGGAUGUUGGCUUGGAAGCAGCCAUUCAUUUAAAGAGUGCGUAACAGCUCACUGGUCGAGCGGUUCCGCAUGGAUAAUAAUCGGGCAUAAGCACAUUACCGAAGCCAUGGGCUAUGUAAAUAGCGGUAGGGGAGCAUUGUAGUGCCGCUGAAGGCGCACCUGCGAGGGGCGCUGGAGGAGCUACAAACGAAAAUGUAGGCAUAAGUAACGAUAAUGCGGGCGAGAAACCCGCACGCCGAAAGACCAAGGUUUCCCCAGCUAUGCUAAUCAGCUGGGGGUCAGUCGGGACCUAACGCAGACCCGAAGGGGGAAGUGGAUGGACAACGGGUUAAUAUUCCCGUACCCGCCCGCGCUAAACGCGACGGAGGCGAGAAGUUGGUGCGUGCAGACGGAAUUGCACGUUGAAGGGACAGGUAACUGCCCGAUAGUACACCGAGGCUACGGCCAAGGUGAUAAUCCAGCGUAUCGACUUCCAAGAAAAGCAAGCGAGGCGGCCCGUACCGUAAACCGACACAGGUGGUCGGGAUGAGUAUUCUAAGGCGCUCGAGAGAUUCAUGGCUAAGGAACUAGGCAAAAUAGACCCGUAACUUCGGGAGAAGGGUCGCCCCCCUUAUGGGGGGGCCGCAGUGAAGAGGUCCAGGCGACUGUUUAUCAAAAACACAGGGCUCUGCUAAAUCGAGAGAUGAUGUAUAGGGCCCGACACCUGCCCGGUGCCGGAAGGUUAAGGGGAGACGUAAGCUUCGGCGAAGCGUUGAACUGAAGCCCCGGUAAACGGCGGCCGUAACUAUAACGGUCCUAAGGUAGCGAAAUUCCUUGUCGGGUAAGUUCCGACCUGCACGAAUGGUGCAACGAUCUGGACACUGUCUCGGCCAUGAGCUCGGUGAAAUUGUAGUAUCGGUGAAGAUGCCGGUUACCCGCAGUGGGACGAAAAGACCC
rnacentral:rRNA from 1 species